GUCUGAGAUUCCUUACUGCGAUUAAAACAUCAAUCACACAAACCUACACCACCUUGCUACUACUUAUUUAACGGUACAUUUCUUGUCUAUUGUUUCUACAUUUCUUCACUCAGACCCGUGUCAUUACCGCAGUUUUGCCAAGUUACAUGGCAUCAACCACCAACAAGACUACCUGGUUCCCUGCAUUUCAGUCUCAGGUAUUGUUAAAUCUUACUCACUACGAUUACGUUUCUCCUUAAGGCCUCACUUUUCCUUCGUAUCAUGUAAAUUCCCCAAACAGGG